rnacentral:rRNA from 1 species
AACGAACGCUGGCGGCAGGCCUAACACAUGCAAGUCGAGCGAGGACUUCGGUCCUAGCGGCGGACGGGUGAGUAACGCGUGGGAACGUGCCCUUUGGUACGGAAUAGCCCCGGGAAACUGGGAGUAAUACCGUAUGGUGUCUUCGGACUAAAGAUUUAUCGCCAAAGGAUCGGCCCGCGUUGGAUUAGGUAGUUGGUGGGGUAAUGGCCUACCAAGCCGACGAUCCAUAGCUGGUUUGAGAGGAUGAUCAGCCACACUGGGACUGAGACACGGCCCAGACUCCUACGGGAGGCAGCAGUGGGGAAUCUUAGACAAUGGGGGCAACCCUGAUCUAGCCAUGCCGCGUGAGUGAUGAAGGCCCUAGGGUUGUAAAGCUCUUUCAGGGGGGAAGAUAAUGACUGUACCCCCAGAAGAAGCCCCGGCUAACUCCGUG